AACGAUGAGGAAUCUUCGGAUGAAAGGGACAACGACUGUAUGGAUCAGCAUUUCAAGAACCCUGAUUCUCCACGUCCAAAUUCAGAAAUGAACUUGAAAAAUACUUUAGGAUGUAGUAAUGGUCACCCUGAAGUUUAUAUAUGCCUUUAAAGAACAUCAACAUGAACAGUGGCUUUAUAAACCAGAAAAGAGGAGUCAUUGCAAAUUCUAGUAAUUCAAGUAAAACCCAGGAACUGAAACUGAAUUCUAGUCAAGACAAAUUGAAAAAACUGCGUGCUUCUUUUUGUACUUGCUGCGUGCCUACUUUAGUAUUUUGUACUGAACUAUGUCUUAUUUCUGUCGAAUAAACUACUCAAAUUACA